CAGCUAACAAGUUGUCAACACUGACAAUAACAAUAACAAACAUUUUGUCCAAAUUUGCAAACUAUUUUUGAGUCAUCCUGGGCGGUUUUUUGACUACUUGUCUUGUAAUAUUUCAAUGCAGAAAUGCACACAUAAACGACGUUCGCUGGACGUGCCCGAGAAGAGGAGAAGGAGGUUAAGCCGGUCAAGGCAAAGAAAGAUAAGAAGGCGGUAAAGCAGGAACAGAAGCCAGUUAAUGGCAGAUCCAGCCAUUACCACAUGUCAAGACAAUUGAAUGUCAGAAUCAAGUGAGAGGUCGAUGAGAAGAGGCCGAACAACAGUCUUGCGAAGCAGACAAGUCAGCUUUGAGCACGUCCAUAAACACUCACCAGAGUGAUUUGAGUUCCCAGACGAGCCCAAGGAAGACGAAAGGAAAACGGCGGAGAAAGCCACUUCAAGUGCUGAGGUUCAUGCCGCCCCUGCCAUAAACGAUGUUAGCAUGCAGGCGUUGGUUGCGACAGAGACGCCUGUUAAGCAGGAACAGGCCAUCGGUGCAGCCAACAAAUCAGAGCUAAUAUGAAUGGGGAACCCAAAAUCGUUAACAAUUCCGUCGACGUCAGUGAGGUCUGUAUCCAUAAACAGAAAUAUGAACUUGAGAGAGUUUGGUCAACAUAAUCGUAAAAUCCAUGCCCUGCAUCUCUAUGCCUCUCCGUGACCAAGAGACACCUGCCACCAAUGGCCAUACUGGCUGUUCAUUUCCUAGUUGUAAACCCAUUGAAACACUCCCUUCCUCUCAUUCACAUUCGUGUCUCCUCUUCAUUGAAAUUUCGCUAUUGCGAGUCUCACGCGAGCUCACAAGCCAAGUCAAAUUCAUUCGAACUCCCACUAAAAUUCACUUUCAUUCAUUUUAAGAGUGAAUGCGGUUUCCCAUGCCGCAUUGAAUGCAUCACGCAAACAUAUAUGUAGCAUAAAACAACCACAAAAAUUAAUAUUCUCUUUUUACAAAUUUAAGAGAGAAGAAACGAAUUCCUUCUACUGUCCAAAUGAUACGCAGUCACUGUAAAAUAUACAGGUUUUCUUAUUAUUAUUAUUAACAUAAUAU